CUGCUCGCUUCGGCAGCACAUAUACUAAAAUUGGAACGAUACAAAGAAGAUUAUCAUGGCCCCUGUGCAAGGAUGAAACACAAAUUUGUGAAGUGUUCCAUAUUUUU
rnacentral:snRNA from 1 species